CAGUCGCCACGGGAAUACAGAGGGUGCGAGCGUUAAUCGGAUUUACUGGGCGUAAAGCGUGCGUAGGCGGCUUUUUAAGUCGGAUGUGAAAUCCCUGAGCUUAACUUAGGAAUUGCAUUCGAUACUGGGAAGCUAGAGUAUGGGAGAGGAUGGUAGAAUUUUAGGUGUAGCGGUGAAAUGCGUAGAGAUCUGGAGGAAUACCGAUGGCGAAGGCAGCCAUCUGGCCUAAUACUGACGCUGAGGUACGAAAGCAUGGGGAGCAAACAGGAUUAGAUACCCGCGUAGUCCCUGUCUCUUAUAC
rnacentral:rRNA from 1 species